rnacentral:rRNA from 1 species
CGUACGACGUAGUUUGACUCCUGGCUCAGAACGACGCUGGCGGCAGGCCUAACACAUGCAAGUCGAGCGAGAUCUUCGGAUCUAGCGGCGGACGGGUGAGUAACGCGUGGGAACGUACCUUUUGCUACGGAAUAGCCCCGGGAAACUGGGAGUAAUACCGUAUGUGCCCCCCGAUGUAAGAAUUGGGGGGGAAAGAUUUAUCGGCAAAGGAUCGGCCCGCGUUGGAUUAGGUAGUUGGUGGGGUAAUGGCCUACCAAGCCGACGAUCCAUAGCUGGUUUGAGAGGAUGAUCAGCCACACUGGGACUGAGACACGGCCCAGACUCCUACGGGAGGCAGCAGUGGGGAAUCUUAGACAAUGGGGGCAACCCUGAUCUAGCCAUGCCGCGUGAGUGAUGAAGGCCCUAGGGUUGUAAAGCUCUUUCAGCUGGGAAGAUAAUGACGGUACCAGCAGAAGAAGCCCCGGCUAACUCCGUG